rnacentral:rRNA from 1 species
UAAGGAAUAUUGGACAAUGGACGCAAGUCUGAUCCAGCCAUGCCGCGUGAAGGAUGAAUGCCCUCUGGGUUGUAAACUUCUUUUAUAGGGGAAGAAAGAUACUUUUUUUAAGGUAGUUGACGGUACCCUAUGAAUAAGCACCGGCUAACUCCGUGCCAGCAGCCGCGGUAAUACGGAGGGUGCAAGCGUUAUCCGGAUUUACUGGGUUUAAAGGGUGCGUAGGCGGGCAUGUAAGUCAGUGGUGAAAUACCGGAGCUUAACUUCGGAACUGCCAUUGAUACUAUAUGUCUUGAAUAUUGUGGAGGUAAGCGGAAUAUGUCAUGUAGCGGCGAAAUGCAUAGAUAUGACAUAGAACACCUAUGUCGGAGGCAGCUUGCUACGCAAAUAUUGACGCUGAGGCACGAAAGCGUGGG